UCCGAGGUAGCCGUUCGUCAGUCGUGUGUGUUUUCGAGUGCAGUUGUGGCACUCUGGUCCGCUCAGAUGCGUAUUUUGGGUGAUUGAUUUUCUUUCUUUCGGUUACCGUGAAACCAUUUUUGUUUUUGUUGAUCCAUCGAUAUGGAUGAGUUUUCCGCUAUGCCACCGUCCGAUCGGUUCGGCGCUUCGUCGACAUCGUCCUCUCCGGCCGACAUGCAUCGUCCCCGUCGUCAUCUGCCGUCUCCGGCCUUGGCGCAAGCAACGUCCUUACUCAGACUGACGCAGACUUAUGGCGGUAGUUUUGAUAUUUGCGACUUGAGCGUAUUGCAUUUGUCACUGACGAGUUCGCCGUCAGCACCUGUCGUAUCUUCGACCGUUCUCCAUCCAUCGGGUCUUAUCGGAGUGGCUGGCCGUAAGCUGCCCGUGCCGCGACGAGCUCAUCCCGCCGAUCACCACAGCAAAUUGUCAUCGCCGGGGCAUCACAUGAGUCAAAGCGAUUUGAUGAUGGCGAGCGUUGCAGAUGCCAUGGAUGAGAUGGAUGCGCUCAUUCGUCCCUCGUCAGGAUCGGCCUCUAUCGGAACCAGCGGUGCAAGCGUUCGCGAUUCGCCGAAACUUUCGUUGUCGAGGAAGUUGCCGGUGCCACCCGUAUCCGCUGCGACCAAAGUUAUCAACCAAUCACGCCGCCUUUUGCCACGACCGUUGUCGUGCGACGUGCCCUGUGUUAGCGAUGCCGAUGUCGCUGCUGGACUCCAGCCGUCCGCCUACCUGCCGACUAGUCAGAGAGCAAGGAGCUCGCAACUGUGCCGACCCUUUUCCUUCGACUACUCUUCCGGCGCCGAGGCCGAACUGGAAGAGGCCGCUCUACUUUAUCAGCCGCAACCGCAACAGGGGACGGCCGGGAGCGAUCCCAGUCUUUUGUAUUUCGAAACGCAGAAUCGUCGUACUCUGAACCGUCAGUCCAGCACCACGUCUUGUCCUGCGUUGGUCCGUCCUUGCGCGUUGUCGCCACGCUCUCCAAAGUACCGAACGGAUGCGUCCUCGUUCAACGGGAGUGUCAGUGGCGGAAGUAGCAUCAACACGACCCCUAGUCCUUUGCCUCUUUUGCAUCCAUCCUUGUCCACGACCGAUCCACCUGCCUACGUCCCAACCGCAGCCCCUGUGCCUUUCUCUAACCCAUCACACCACACCGCCUUACCUUUAUCGAUUGUAUCCAGUCAAGCGGUCGGGACAGCUGGAAUAAUCCCACCUCGUCCUUAUUUGUGGCCGGCCACUCACGAGAAUCCAUCGUUAAUGAUUCCUUCGACCGGUUCGGCCUUUCGUGCCCCGCCACUCGCCUCUCAAUACAGACAGGCUUCGUUGUCUCUCCCGCCAAGCGGACUUGAUCCGACGUUCGAUACCGCCACCGCGGCCACCACUUCUAGCAUUGCUACAACAACAACAUUGGCUAUGCGUCGCCACCGUUUCCAUCACGACGUCGGUGACGAAGGCGGUUCCUUUUGCGGGCCGUUUGGUGAAUUUUCGCAUUACCGAUUGGACAUGCAACGUCCGUCGCGCUCUCGUCAGCCUGUCCGCAAUAGCACCAUCUUGGCGGCCAGGCACGAUGUCAAAGGAUCCAUUUCUGAAACGCUUGAUGAAGAUGAGGAGAUCCUGGGCUCUGAUGAUGACGAACAAGAAGAUCCUAGGGAUUACACCAAAGGUGGUUACCAUCCAGUGAAGAUCGGCGAUCUCUUCCAUAAUCGAUACCAUGUCGUGCGCAAGUUGGGCUGGGGCCAUUUCUCCACUGUCUGGCUCUGCUGGGAUUUAGUGGCGAAACGGUUUGUAGCACUCAAGGUGGUCAAGAGCGCGUCGCAUUACACGGAAACAGCUCUGGACGAGAUCAAGUUGCUUCGUUGCGUUCGAGAGAGCGAUGAAACGGACCGCAAACGGGAGAAAACGGUUCAACUACUCGACGAUUUUAAGAUCAGCGGCAUUAAUGGCACGCACGUCUGUAUGGUCUUCGAAGUGCUCGGCCACAACCUCCUGAAGCUCAUAAUACGGAGUCAAUACCAAGGCAUUCCUCUGCUCAACGUCAAGACCAUCAUCCGCCAGGUCCUUGAAGGUUUAGAUUAUUUGCAUACCAAGUGUCGCAUCAUUCACACAGACAUCAAGCCUGAAAAUAUAUUGAUUUGCGUCGAUGAGCCAUUCAUCCGGAAGUUGGCAGCUGAUGCCACCCAAUGGCAUAAGAUGGGCAUGAAACUUCCCGGAUCUUUAGUGAGCACAGCGCCGAAAGAACUUCAGUCUCCCAGCACGACCAACAUGUCGAAAAGCAAGAAGAAAAAGAUGAAGAAAAAAGCCAAAAAGAAGGCGGAAUUGCUGGAAAAACAGCUUCAACAACUUGAGGAGCUGGAAGAGAAUCUCCAGAUCAACGGAUGUAAAGAUGAAAAGGAAAAGAACGGAACGAGCUUCCAGGCUGCAGAUGAAGCAUGCGCGGCAAAUCCCACUCUCAGGAACGGUGGAACAAACAAUGUGGAACACCGCAAGAGUUUCGCAGAAAUGACUGAGGCCCAAGUUCAUCCAGCUUCGUCCGCCUCUGCACCGGAGGGCUUUCUCAAUCCACAAGAUAAUCCUAAUGGCAACGAGAACUCGACCGGUGAGAGCAGUAUGCGCCGCACGUCUUCUGUUCCAGAUCAGCGAUCAUUGUUGGAUAAAAGACCAGAUCCUGUCCGCGAAGUCUGGCCCGAUAUGUUGGUGAAAAUUGCGGAUUUGGGCAACGCUUGUUGGGUGCAUCAUCACUUUACCGAAGACAUUCAGACGAGGCAAUAUCGCUGUCUGGAAGUUCUGCUCGGUGCUGGGUACGGAACUCCGGCCGAUAUCUGGAGCACGGCUUGCAUGGCCUUCGAGCUCGCCACCGGUGACUAUCUGUUCGAGCCUCAUUCUGGUGAGGAUUAUUCGAGAGACGAGGACCAUUUGGCUCAUAUUAUCGAAUUGUUGGGCGAUAUUCCAAAACACAUUGCGGCUUCGGGAAAAUAUUCUCGCGUCUUUUUUAAUAAAAAGGGAGAGCUGAGACACAUCACAAAACUGAAGCCUUGGGGUCUGUUUGAGGUGCUAACGGAGAAAUAUGAAUGGGAUGUCCAACAAGCGCGCGAUUUUGCCGAAUUUCUUCAUCCCAUGUUGGCGUUUGAUCCCAACCAGCGAGCCACGGCAGCCGAAUGCCUGCUCCAUCCGUGGCUGACGGGUGUACCGCUUGACGGCCAUCAGCAACAGUUGCAAGCCGAACGUCGUCAAUGUCUGUCCUUCGUCCACCAACCGACCGAAGAAGUUGGUGAUUUGGACGAAGAGGAGGAUGACGACGAAGACGAUGAUGACGAUGAAGAUGACGACGAUGAUGAUGAGGAUGAUGAUGACGAGCCUGAUGCAGAAAAACCUCGACAGGUCGUUGUUCCUUCAUGACACUCUUUCGAUUUGAUUGGCAUUUCGUCGCUCACUUUGAUCAACCGCUCGACCACUUCACCAUCAUCAAACACUUCUUCCCCUCACACGAACAUAUACACUCAUGAAACACUCCAUCUUUCUUCCUAUUCGUUGGCUGCGUGUAUUCCAUCUUCCUGUCAUUGAAUCAUGCCCGAGCAGUAAAAAUCAUAUCCAUUUGGUGAGAAAACAAGCAACAGCUCCCUCCACCAUCGUUCCCCUUUUUUUUUUUUUUUUUCUCGGUUUUCAAACCAAAUCAAAUUUAAACUUUUAUUUAUUAUUAUUUUCUUGUCAUAAUUUGAAAAGUGAACGAAAAAGGCCAUCGUAAUGGAAUUCCUUCACUUUAAAUAUCAUCCAUCCAGCAAUCGCUAGGUCAUAUUCAGAAGAGAAGGAAACAACAAUAACACAAACGGUUAAGUUAGCCCAUAACGAGGAAUUUCAUUCCGUUUCGGGAUGCAUUUGCAAAUUAAUUGAUAUGCCGCCUCUUUUAUCUUGAUUUUUUUCCCACAUCUUUGAGCCGUCGUUGUCUGAUGUCAUUUUUAAUUUAUUUUCUCUAAGUUGAAAAGAAGUAAUGUGCGCGUUCACUCUCCUACUUAAGAGUUUGAGAUCGGUGUCGCACGGGUCUUGGAGAAAACGAAAGAUGCGAUGAUGCCGCCAUCGCCCACUGAAUUUAAAUUAUUCUUUGAAUGUCGUCCCGACAUUCCAGACUGCGUGACGGUAUUUAAAACGUCAAGACGUAUCUUGAAGUUCAUCGUCAUUUGUUCCCCCUUUUUUCUUUCUUUUUUUUUUGUUUGGCUUUGUUAAUGAGCAAAUUUGAAGAUGUACGGAACUUGAGUACGAAAGAUGGGUGACUGCGUAGCACUCAUCUGUCUUGACAGGAGACAGAAUGGAAUUGGUACCUUAUGUGAUACGCCGUUGUCGAGGUUUAAGUCCUUUUUUUUCCCUCCCUUUUUGUCACUAGAAUGUCUUUUAUUUUGAAAAUCUCCUUUUGCGGGAGGGGAGGGAAAGGGGGUUAGGGUUUCAAGUGUUGAUGGAAGCUCCCAGGGCAAUAUAUAUCUCACUGAAAUGGCUAAUUUUUUUGUUUUCCUUUUUUUUUUUUUAUUAUUAUUAAUAUUAUUUCUUUUUUUUUAUUAACGUUGGUGCGUGGUCUGUUGCACUCUAUAAUGGUGAAAACAAAAAAACACACAAAAAAAAAGAGGAAAAGCAGGCUACAAAUAGGUAACUGGAUUGCACGGUUCGAUUAGUAGAUUGACUUGCUCGCUCUCUUUGUACACCACCACAAUCCUUAACUCUCUCCUCUUCUCUCUCUCACCCCCUCUCCCCCGUCCUCACCCGAACAUUUAUUAUCCAUUCUUCGAAUUAAAAGUCAAUUGUAGCCCCUGAUAGAAGACAAAAAGAAGACGAAGAAGAAGGAUAUUGUUAUCUUCCGAGUGCAAUUCUACGGUUCUCUCUUGUAUCUGUCCUUUCUGACGCAACCUAUCGCCUCCCUCUCAGAAUUCUGUCACAUUUAUUAUGAUUUCUAUUUUUUCGAUAAUAGAAAAUUUUGAUCAGGAGAAGCAGAUGGACAAUUAUUGGAAUGAGAAGACGUUCAGCUGCGUCUCGUUUUGCGUUUUUUGUAUGUAUGGUCAGUUAACCCCUCAACCUUUAUAAUCGUCAGUCGCGGAUAACGUCAUCAACCCUUUCAAGAAAAAGUAACGAAAAACAAAGAUAAAAUAAACUCCCAUGUUUAUCUUCUUUUGUUGGCUUUUCGUAAUUCUGUUGGAUGGCCGAGACGUUGUUCUCAUGUUUGUCCCUGAUUGUUGAAGAAAUGACACCCUUCUGUGUACCACCGUGUCCGUCUCUCCUCUCUCCCUCCACCGCAAUGGACGACAUCGACGAUAUACACAUCUCAAAUAUUUUACAAGAGAAAAAUAAAUCGAGAGAAAUAAAAUGAACAAAUAAAUCA
rnacentral:misc_RNA from 1 species